rnacentral:lncRNA from 1 species
GUCUCUUUUCAAGUCCUGUUUGUCUGGAGUGGAUCCAGGCGCAGCGUCUGGGCGAGCUGCCCAAUCAGCGCUGACCUCCUUUGUUUACCACGUGUGACCAGGGGGACCUGUGAGGUCCGGAGGCGACUCCGAGGAGGAGCACACGAAGUCCUGUGCUUCCCUGCCUCUGUGACCCCAGCAGAGCUCCGCACCCUGGAAGAGGCCGCCCUUCCAUCUUGGCAGAGUUGCUCCCUUCGGAAGGGCAGAGAUGCCUCCCCCGUCUGCCCAAGAUCGCCGUCCUCCUCCUUAAACCCCGACUGAUGGAAAACAGAAACCACUACAGGAACGGGAGGAGGAGGCAUCUGAAACACCCCCAAACCUUGGAUGCUGCUUAGGACUUCAGAAUUCAAAAGGCAGAAGCCAAGGUGACCAGGGGAAGCAAGCGGAACAGAUUUCGGUGCCUGCCUCCCACCCUGCCUGCUGGCCCAGAGCCCUCCCCUGGAGGGCCACACAUCCUGUGGCCAGACAGCCCCGCAGAAGGCCGAGGGGACUGUGGGGGCCGUCCAUCAGAUGGCCAGCUGCCCUUGGCCUCCUCCUAUGUUACUUCCCUGGACUGCAAGGGAGCGAGGGAACAACAACAAAACUGGAAGGAAUGACAGUUAAAAUACUCUAUGAGAAACUGGUGUAGACAGAAGUCUUUUUCUUACGACCCACCGGCAUCCACCGGGAGAGCUGGCUGGAAAUCAAACGUCUCUGCUCUUAAGCCCCGUCCUGCCUUGGAAUCGUGAAGAUAAAGCCAACAGCAACAACAAAAUGAGAUAAAGAGACACCCCCCGCGGGGCUCCCCUGGCCCCAUGGGGGUCCGUCUGACUUUGGCACCCAGUUGACAGACCCUUUCGGGCCCAGUGGAGUGGCCCCCUGGGACAGGGCCCUGCAUAGUCACACCAGGGAUACUGGCUGUUUCCCUGGCUUGGGGGUUAUAACAAAGCACCACAGGCUGGGGGAGGCUUAGACAACAAGGCACAUACUUCUCACCGUUCUGGAAGCCAGAAGUCCAAGAUCAAGGUGCCCAUGGGUUCCGUUCUCUGAGAGGACUCUCUUCCUGGCUUGUCAACGGGCCACCUUCCCCCUGGGUCCCCACAUGAGGGAGACAGAAGGCUGUCUUUUCCCCUUCUUGUGAGGACACCGAUCCCAUCAUGGGGGCCCCCACCCCCGUGACCUCAUCUCAACCUACGUGCCUCCCAGAGUCCCAACUGCCCAAAUGCCAUCC